rnacentral:tRNA from 1 species
CUACGAGAAAGAAGACCGCCUUUCACUUCCUUCCUUUCCUUCCCCGUUCAGCAGACGGCUGGGGGUAUAGCUCAGCUGGCUGGCUAGAGCGGCGGCUUUGCAAGCCGUAGGUCUGGGGUUCGAAUCCCCAUACCUCCAAAAUCGAAAUAGUCUUUCGAGACUCAUAGAUUGAUUUGUUCUUUGACAUGAAGAGAGAAGGGAGAGGGUCUUGAGAUAUUACCCGGAAGGGUAAUGUUUUAGGGCUUGAAGAAGAAAAGAAGAAAAGAGCGUUUUGAGAGAAUGCGAGAUGCGAAGGCCGGAAGAUGCUUUUGCCUUGAAAGGGUGAAAGGAUAAUAU